UACAGAUCAAAUAUUUCAUAAUCUCACCUUUUGGAAUGAUCAUCUUGUCAUUCUUAUCCAGGGACUUGCCUUCCUAAAUCAGAGGAAGUGCCCUGGAGCCAAUGUGUGCUUCUGUGUAUCUAAAAUUAAGUAUCCAGUUGGUGGUUAAAUUAAGACCUGACCUUGUACAACUGAAACAUAAGCGGUCUCUGGCACACGGUAAAGUAUUACCCAUGACUUCUCUAGACUCUCAUCAAAAGAAACGCAAGCCUACAGAGGUAUAAUAAGAUUAUCUCUGUCCUGAUUGGUUCAAAGAACUCUUAUGAAAACAAAGGACCUGCCAAUUCAGCUGCAGGGAGUGUUGCUACUGAUGGAACAAAACCAAACCACUUGGAAUUAACGCACAAUUUAAAGACUGAAAAUCAAACAACUGAAAACAUGAGCCAAAUCUAUUAGCACUGAACUCCUCCAACAGCACUGAUGUCACAGGCCCCUGGAAGAAUCCACGUUGUUGACAUUACUCUGGUCAUUUAGUUGCCAUGUAGCCAAGCAAAGAGAUGGGGUUUGACCUUGUUGUCCAGGCUGGUUUCAAACUCCUGAGUUCGAGCAAUCUACCCACCCUUCAAAGUGUUGGGAUCACAGAUAUUUUACCAUUACAAUAUAGAUGGAGAUUUUCAUCUAUUAAUAAAAGAUGUUCUCUAUUCACAAAUGGAAAUGGAGCAACAGUACACAAUUUCUGCCCCAGAAUUCAUGGCUGGUGCAGAUGGAAAUAUUGGCAUAGUUCCAGAGGAGUUAAAGGACUCACCCAGGCCGUACAGCUGGU
rnacentral:lncRNA from 1 species